rnacentral:rRNA from 1 species
UACGUAGGGGGCAAGCGUUGUCCGGAUUUACUGGGCGUAAAGAGCGCGUAGGCGGAAGUUUAAGCGGUGCUUGAAAGCCCCCGGCUCAACUGGGGAGGGUCACGCGAUACUGAUCGACUCGAAGGCAGGAGAGGGUAGUGGAAUUCCCGGUGUAGUGGUGAAAUGCGUAGAUAUCGGGAGGAACACCAGUGGCGAAGGCGACUACCUGGCCUGUUCUUGACGCUGAGGCGCGAAAGCUAGGGGAGCAAACGGG